GAGCCUACGGGGGGCAGCAGUCGGGAAUAUUGCGCAAUGGAGGAAACUCUGACGCAGUGACGCCGCGUAUAGGAAGAAGGUUUUCGGAUUGUAAACUAUUGUCGUGAGGGAAGAAAUUGACAGUACCCCAGGAGGAAGCUCCGGCUAACUAUGUGCCAGCAGCCGCGGUAAUACAUAGGGAGCAAGCGUUAUCCGGAUUUAUUGGGUGUAAAGGGUGCGCAGACGGGAAAUUAAGUUAGUUGCGAAAUCCCUCGGCUCAACUGAGGAACUGCAACUAAAACUGAUUUUCUUGAGUGCAGGAGAGG
rnacentral:rRNA from 1 species